rnacentral:rRNA from 1 species
GUGGGGAAUCUUCCGCAAUGGGCGAAAGCCUGACGGAGCAAUGCCGCGUGAGUGAUGAAGGAAUUCGUUCCGUAAAGCUCUUUUGUUUAUGACGAAUGUGCAGAUUGUGAAUAAUGAUUUGUAAUGACGGUAGUAAACGAAUAAGCCACGGCUAACUACGUGCCAGCAGCCGCGGUAAUACGUAGGUGGCGAGCGUUGUCCGGAAUUAUUGGGCGUAAAGAGCAUGUAGGCGGUUUUUUAAGUCUGGAGUGAAAAUGCGGGGCUCAACCCCGUAUGGCUCUGGAUACUGGAAGACUUGAGUGCAGGAGAGGAAAGGGGAAUUCCCAGUGUAGCGGUGAAAUGCGUAGAUAUUGGGAGGAACACCAGUGGCGAAGGCGCCUUUCUGGACUGUGUCUGACGCUGAGAUGCGAAAGCCAGGGUAGCGAACGGG